rnacentral:tRNA from 3 species
GGAGAGGUGGCCGAGUGGUUGAAGGCGACAGUCUUGAAAACUGUUGUGGGUGAAAGCCUACCGCGAGUUCGAAUCUCGCCCUCUCCG